UACGUAGGGGGCGAGCGUUGUUCGGAAUUACUGGGCGUAAAGAGCGCGCAGGCGGUCUGCCAAGUCAGAUGUGAAAGAGGCCGGCUUAACCGGCAAGGGUCAUUUGAAACUGACAGACUAGAGUGCAGCAGAGGAUAGCGGAAUUCCCGGUGUAGUGGUGAAAUGCGUAGAUAUCGGGAGGAACACCAGUGGCGAAGGCGGCUAUCUGGGCUGCAACUGACGCUGAGGCGCGAAGGCUAGGGUAGCAAACAGG
rnacentral:rRNA from 1 species